GGAUGUGAGGAUGAUCUGGCUGGCUAAGCAUAUGUCUCCUUCCUCCCUCAAUGCUCUAUAUACAGCCCUUCCAAAACUGUACAUUUAGUCAGAGGACAACCUUCUCCAAAUAGAGAAGGACCAGUGUUCCAUNGAGACUGUGAGUAGCUGAGGUUCCCCUGCCAUAACCUCCCAAUAAGCUCUCAAAAGCAAUUUUUGCUGGAGAGAUGGCACAGAGGUUAAGAGCACACCUUUAAUCCCAGCACCCGGGAGGCAGAGGCAGGCGGAUCUCUGUGAG
rnacentral:snRNA from 1 species